GGUGGCUCAGUGGUAGAGCGCUUGUCUUGCAUGUAUGAGGCACUGGGUUCGAUUCCUCAGUACCA
rnacentral:tRNA from 1 species